ensembl:lncRNA
ACUCCGCUCAAGUCCUGGGAGCAAGGGCAGAACAUUCUUGAGCGAUACAGCACCUUUUUGUAGGUAACUCUGGUGAGAGUCUUGCAAAGGUGAAGAGGGGACUCCUACGUGGCCAGAUGCGCCCCAGUGAGUCAGGAGGCUUUCCAUGUGCCCUGCAGCUUAUUUUCAUCAGGGAUCUUGGUCUCGAAUAUGAGUGACAGAGCACACAACCAAAUCUAAUUUCCAGGGCUGCACAAGUCCACUCUCCCUCCCCCAAACUUGCAGGUUGGAAUGGAAGUAAAUUGAUACCUUUAUGGUUUGAGAAUUUUUUAAUAUUUGAAAGGAAACCAAUAAAAAACUUUCCUAAAGAGGUGACUAAAUUUUAGCAGGCUUGAAUAUUAGAGCUGUAAGAAGGCAUUAUUGGGAGACAGGUGGUCCCCGCAUGGAGGGAGAACUCUAGCACCAUCAGGAGGAAACUCGGGACACAACCUGUGACCCCGAUUCUCACUUUGUGAAAGGAGUGCAGCCUUGACAGGGGAACUGGGUGCAAAUUCCAGCACUAUGCUUGCUUGGGCAAAUGCCUUUCUCUCUCCUGGCUUCUGUUUCCUUAUUUCUGAAACAGGGAGAAAAUUACCUUGCAUCACUAUUGAGAGGAAUAGUAGAUGCUUAAUUAGUGUUAUCUGUUAUCCUUCUUUAAUUAUGUAUUGAAUAUUAUAGAAUCUAAGUUAAUAUAAAUAUUAAAAUAGCAAUAAAACAAGUGCUUGUAUUCACAGCAUAAAGCAAUGUUAGGAGCACCUUUGAAAUGCCCUGUGCACCCUUCUCCAUCCUCCGCCUAGAAAACCGUUAGCCGUUCUUAUGCCCCGGAAUCUGCCUCGUCAGCCUGAUUAACCAGCUUAGCACUUUAAAGACUCGCACCUGUUUUAUUCAUUGGCCCAGCAGCAGUCAUAAAAGGCUACAAAGAUAGGCCCCACCUUAGCUGUCAGCUCUCCCAUUCCUGGACCCCUCAUCCCUCGUAUUUUCCUAACCUUUCACCUGGUUUCUGACCGACAGCCUUAUUUUGAGCACAAGGGUCAAGGUGUCCCUUGAUUUCUGACUGACCGCUUCUCAGCUCUUCCUGGUCCAACCCACGCCAGGGUCUGGCCCCCAGCCCUCCGUUCCUAACCUCCCCCCAGUUUUCCCAGGCUGAGUCCAGUCAGCACCUCUGUCCAAGUUCUCAGUAUGACAGGUAUCAGAGGUGGGUGAGCUCUGCCCUCAUGCCGAAUGGACAGGGGACAACAGAGGGCAAGGUGGGAGAAAGGGUCCCUGGAGAAAAGAUUAUGAACCCAGGGACAUAGAGGUAACUCUCCCUUCUUUAGGGCCUGCUGGUGCGAUGACAGUGAGAAGUUAACCUGACUCCAACACCAAGAAGACUGCAUGUUAGGUUGGGAGUUUACCAUAUCAGACGAAAUGACCGUGUUUUUUAAGAAACUGCAAAGCUAUGCACAGGGAGACAAAAGUCUGCAAAGAUGCUCAACAUCAAAUCAACCCAAGCUCCUGGAAAAGCUCUAGUUCCUGGUUAUCUUCGAAUUUGGGGUUACAGCUUAACAAAGAACCUUUGUCUGGAAAGACAGUUGUGCUU